UACGUAGGGUGCAAGCGUUAAUCGGAAUUACUGGGCGUAAAGCGUGCGCAGGCGGCUUUGCAAGACAGAUGUGAAAUCCCCGGGCUUAACCUGGGAACUGCAUUUGUGACUGCAUGGCUGGAGUGCGGCAGAGGGGGAUGGAAUUCCGGCGUGUAGCAGUGAAAUGCGUUAGAUAUGCGGAGGAACACCGAUGGCGAAAAGCAGCUCUCUGGGGACGGGUACUGACGCUGAGGCGCGAAAAGCGUGGGGGAGCGAACAGG
rnacentral:rRNA from 1 species